rnacentral:rRNA from 1 species
CAGUCGCCGCGGGAAUACGAAGGGUGCAAGCGUUAAUCGGAAUUACUGGGCGUAAAGCGCGCGUAGGUGGUUUGGUAAGAUGGAUGUGAAAUCCCAGGGCUCAACCUGGGAACUGCAUCCAUAACUGCCUGACUAGAGUACGGUAGAGGGUGGUGGAAUUUCCUGUGUAGCGGUGAAAUGCGUAGAUAUAGGAAGGAACACCAGUGGCGAAGGCGACCACCUGGACUGAUACUGACACUGAGGUGCGAAAGCGUGGGGAGCAAACAGGAUUAGAUACCCCAGUAGUCCCUGUCUCUUAUAC